ensembl:lncRNA
GUUCUGAGGGGUCAUUCUAGGAAAUCGGGAGAGGCUGGGAGUACCUGGGAGUGUUCCAUCAAGAAAGUGGACAGGACAGGACUUCCCUGAUGGUGCAGUGGCACGAUUCCAGGCUUCCAGUGCAUUCUAUCAUGGCUGUGUGCUGAGUCACUUCAGUCGAGUCCAGUUCUUUGCGACUCUAUGGACCAUAGCCCGCCAGACUCCUCUGUCCGUGGGAUUCUCCAGGCAAGUAUACUGGAGUGGGUUGCCACACCCUCCUCCAAGGGAUCUUCCUGGCCCUGGGACAGAACCUGUGCUUCUUACAUCUCCUGCAUUGACAGUUCAACCAGGGAAGUCUCAUCAGUCGUGAUACUGUUUGCUUGGAAAUCUACUUCUGUUUAGUGUGGGACAAAAAGACUCAGGCCUCCACCCUUAAGCUCAGCGCCUCUAAAAAUGAGAGUCAAGUUCAUUGCCAAUGUCAGCCCAGGGUGCUGAAUGCCAUUAUACCGGAAGCACAAGACAUCAUGGGAACACACAGAAGGGGACCCCAUCCAACUCAAGGAGUUAAGCAAUGUUUACUGUGUUGGUAACUGAGGAGAAAGACAUUCCUUGGAGAAGGAAAGGACUUUGUGGACAACAUUUAAAUGAAAGAAAGAGGAAGAGGGCAGAUACAUAACUGGGGGGAACACAGAGGCAUGUGGGGUCACAGAAGCUCAAGGAGAAGACUUAUAAGAAUCAGAGAAAUGGGGAUGUCCCUGGCGGUCCAGUGAUUAAGACUGGACACUUCUACUGCAGGGUGCACGGAUCCCAUCCCUGGAGGAUCAAAGAUCCCUCAUGCUAAGCGGUGUAGAAGGAAGGAAGGAGAGCGCGGUUGAGUCACGACAGAACUGAAAGCUGCCCAUUGGAUACAGUCAUUAGAAAGUCAUAGAUGGUCUUAUAGGGGAGCCAGCUCAGUGACAGGCUACAAGUUAAACUGGUCAGGCAAACUCAGGUUAACAAGUGGUGAUAAAGGUGACUGAGGCUAACAGUACGGGAAUUGAGUUUGACAGACCCGGUGUCCAUCCCAGGACUUGCUAAAUCUCUAUACCUCAAUUUUCAACAUAUAAAAUGAGAAUGUGUAAAAUAAGAACACAUAAAAUGGAAUGCAGGAGACAUAGGAGACGCGGUUAGAACCCUGGGUCGGGAAGAUCCCCUGGAAAAGGGCUUGGCAACCCACUCCAGUAUUCUUGCCUGGAGAAUCCCCUGGAUAGAGGAGCCUGGCGGGCUACAGCCCAUAGGUCGCAAAGAGUCGGACACAUCUGAAGCAACUGAGCACACGGUACAAAACGAGACUAGCACCACUAGCUUAUCAACUUUAGUGGUUGAUGAUUAAACGCGAUGACGGCGGAAUACGCAACGCACGGUGGGCGCAUUAACUCUAUUCUGUCAAUGAGCAGACGAGGUUGGGUGAUGACAGCCAAGAUCUGGCGAGCUGUGGCUCCGGCGGCCCGACAGAACGAUCUAAGAACAGCAACGCAGUAGGCUUGGGGAGGGGUGAAGGCACGCUACGGUGAAGUCACUCCCUUUGCAAAGAACACUCCCAUCGCAAGGUGAACCGGAAUGAAAGGUCUAUCUUCUACUCAGUCCCAGGCCCGUAAUGUCUUUCCCUUGCCUACGCAGCCCCUCCGAAUGGUACGGCCCGCACGACUUCCCUCCCGCCCUCCUCGCCCG